rnacentral:rRNA from 1 species
AAUUAAGACAAUAUAGAUAUUUCAUUUUUAAUCCUUUUUGAUUAAAACAUUAUUAAAUUUAGUAAAGGAGAUUAAAAAUUAUUAAAUAAUUCUUAAAUUUUAAGUACUGUGAAGGAAUAAAUCUUAAUUAGGGAAAAGAAAAAAUUAAACUUU